rnacentral:rRNA from 1 species
UCGGGAUAACACCUGGAAACAGAUGCUAAUACCGGAUAACAACAGAUGAUGCCUAUCAACUGUUUAAAAGAUGGUUCUGCUAUCACUCUUGGAUGGACCUGCGGUGCAUUAGCUAGUUGGUAGGGUAACGGCCUACCAAGGCGAUGAUGCAUAGCCGAGUUGAGAGACUGAUAGGCCACAUUGGGACUGAGACACGGCCCAAACUCCUACGGGAGGCAGCAGUC